AUUGAACGCUGGCGGCAGGCCUAACACAUGCAAGUCGAGCGAGCGGCGGACGGGUGAGUAAUGUCUGGGAAACUGCCUGAUGGCGGGGGAUAACUACUGGAAACGGUAGCGAAUACCGCAUACCCAAGGAAGUGCCCAGAUGGGAUUAGCUGGUAGGGGGGGUAACGUCUCCCCUAGGAGACAAUCCCUCGCUGGUCUGAGAGGAUGACCAGCCACACUGGAACUGUGACACGGUCCAGACUCCUACGGGAGGCAGCAGUGGGUAAUAGUGCACAAUGGGCGCAAGCCUGAUGCAGCCAUGCCGCGUGUGUGAAGAAGGCCUUCGGGUUGUAAAGCACUUUCAGCGGGGAGGCGUUACCCGCAGAAGAAGCACCGGCUAACUCCGUGCCAGCAGCCGCGGUAAUAC
rnacentral:rRNA from 1 species